UAUUGAUCUUUAGAUGAAUAUGUUUAAGAUUAGAAAAUGUAUUUGCUAUUUAAAACAUAAAUGUCAAAAUGUUUUUCAUAUUUUAGAAAUUGAAUCCUGAUGUAGACGAACAAGUACGUGUCGAUUUAGGAAAAGAAAUCGCCACGGCGGCAGUUCUUGACACAUUACCGUACUUUAUGGCAAGGAGGCUGAAACGUGGGACACGUUUUAUUUUACUUCGUGAUUACUUGCAAGAAGGAACAAUGACACAAUGGGAGAAGCUUUGUGUAGCAUACCAGUUAGCUGAGUGUUUGAGAUGCUUACAUUCUAAUGACCUAGCCUUAAAAAAGAUUACAACGAGCACGAUAUUGCUUCGCUUAAACUUUCUGACCAACUCUGUUGCUAUGAUACAAUUACAACAACCAGCAAGCGGGAAAAGCGGAAAAAGCAGGGUGUCUCGUGCAGAAAAUAUUUAUCAAUUCGGUUGCGUUGUUGGACAGCUUUUCUCGUAGUUUUGAUUUAAAACGUCUAUGUCUUUGUAUAGCCUGUUUGUUUUGUAUGUUUGAUUUGUUUUUCCCGAGCAAAUUAUCUUGUUUUGUCUAUAUGUAUGGAAUAUUUUUAUUU